rnacentral:rRNA from 1 species
UACAGAGGGGGCAAGCGUUGUUCGGAAUUACUGGGCGUAAAGAGCGUGUAGGCGGCCUGACAGGUCUGCUGUGAAAACUCGAGGCUCAACCUCGAGAUGUCGGCGGAAACCGUCUGGCUAGAGUCCGGAAGAGGAGAGUGGAAUUCCUGGUGUAGCGGUGAAAUGCGCAGAUAUCAGGAAGAACACCUAUGGCGAAGGCAGCUCUCUGGGACGGUACUGACGCUGAGACGCGAAAGCGUGGGAGCGAAGCAGG